CCCAGAUGAGGAGCUCUUGCUCUUGUACUAGAACCCAAGGACGUGAGAGUGCAUUUCACUGUGCCAUACUUAGUAUUUGUAUCUGCAUGGAAAGGUCUGGAAAAGGGGAGAAAGUUUCUUUGCACCUGGCAUCCCAACAUGCUGGUAACAAGAUCCAAUGAGUGAAGUAAUAGGCAAGAGAUUUGUUCCUUUAAGUCAGCCAGCUUUUUUCCCCUCGAUUCAAAACUUGGAUGUUGUCUUUGAUCUGUUACCAAUCAUAUAUCAGGGUAUAUGUCUGGCUGCUUAUCUUUCUGAGCACUUGUGCUGCACAUGUAUUAAUGUGCUCAUCUGGGAAUAGAAUCAUGUAAAAACAUACUUCAAACUGGCAGUGAGUCCUUUUUGGCAGAACCACCAUGGAGCAGCUGUGUGACAACCUGAGACACAGGGUCUGAGGAAAAUGUGCUUUAGGACUGCAGUGUGGAAGGGAGAGUGCACCUCUCAUGGACGUGUGAAAUGGAGCUGUGGCUGGGUUCCCCCUUCUGCCAGGGUACCAGGGCAAUGAUGGCAUCUCCCUGAAAUCCCACGCGCUUGUCAAACUCAAAAUGAGUAUCAGAAGGCUUCUGGAUGAGAGUCUGGAAUGAGAACGUGGGCUGUUGAAAUGCACAAAGGAAAACCCAGGAGAAGAGUGGAGGAUGAUUACUCCUGGCCUGGCCAGAAGGUUUACACCGAUGUAUCACUUACCUCCAUUUUAUUGGUGCGGAAAAUCUGAAGUCAUAAAGCCUUACAUGACUACAGGACACCAGGAUGCACAGCAAUUACCUAUUUAUAAAACCCAAAGCAGGAAGGGCAGUUAGAACCCACAUCGCAGGAAGACCCCAGGCCAUAUUCCCAUAUCUUCCCUGGGGUUCACACAGAGACAGCAGUAUCUGCUCUGUCUUGGCUGAGCUGUGUGGCUGGAUGGAGCUGCCUGGAAGGGCAGGAGCAGCAGGAGCUGGAGAAGGAUCAUCACAGCAGAACCACUCACCUGACCUGGCCUUGGCUCCUCAGAACCACUGAAAGGUGACACAUAGAGCACCACAGCACAACCAGCUGCAGAGGUGAGUGACUUACAGUCAGAGCAGCUCCUGGAGAGCCGGACUCAGGCUGAUCACUGUCAGCAGAGGCUUCAGUGGUCACAAGGCUUUACAGUGUUACUUGUCUGACUGUCAGGAUGAAAUAGAACAGAGACCCAAAAUCCUCCCCAUGUCACCUGAGCACUUAUAUCUGUUCAACUUCUGAAUUCAUUCAAAUCUGGGAUUCUAAGG
rnacentral:lncRNA from 14 species